rnacentral:lncRNA from 1 species
AAAGUCCUAUCUCCCCUUCCUUAUUCAUUAUAGAAUGACUAAGACUGCAAUCAACUACCAUGAUUUGCUGGGGUUGCUGUAGACUUUUGAGAAGGAUCAUUAGCUCCACAAGGAGCUGGUAAAUGUAGUGGAAGAAUCUUCUUCGGUGGGACGUUGUCCCUUUAAGAAAAAAAAGAAGAAGAAUAAAAAUAAGAAGGUGCAGCAUGUUGGGGCGUCUAAGCCCGAUC